rnacentral:rRNA from 1 species
GACGAACCGUGCAAACGUUGUUCGGAAUCACUGGGCUUAAAGGGCGCGUAGGCGGUCGGUCAAGUCCGGGGUGAAAUCCUGCAGCUCAACUGUAGAAGUGCCUUGGAUACUGACUGGCUAGAGGGAGGUAGGGGUCUUUGGAACUUCUGGUGGAGCGGUGAAAUGCGUUGAUAUCAGAAGGAACGCCGGUGGCGAAAGCGAAAGACUGGACCUCUUCUGACGCUGAGGCGCGAAAGCCAGGGGAGCAAACGGG